rnacentral:rRNA from 1 species
UACGAAGGGGGCUAGCGUUGUUCGGAAUUACUGGGCGUAAAGCGCACGUAGGCGGACUAUUAAGUCAGGGGUGAAAUCCCGGGGCUCAACCCCGGAACUGCCUUUGAUACUGGUAGUCCCGAGUCCGGAAGAGGUGAGUGGAAUUCCCAGUGUAGUGGUGAAAUACGUAGAGAUUGGGAAGAACACCAGUGGCGAAGGCGGCUAUCUGGACGGUUUCUGACGCUAAGACGCGAAAGCGUGGGGAGCAAACAGG